rnacentral:lncRNA from 1 species
UCAAUCAUGCUAGUAGUACAUUUUUGGGUUACAUUGUGGAUGAUAUCCUCCUAUGUGGAUGAAAUCUGACCAUUAAUACGUGUUUUGGAGUUAGCCUUUUGAGAUUCAUUCAGUUCAACUUGUUUUAGCUUCAAGGUUCUCUCUGGUUCUCUUUCCUGAGCACUCUCAGAAAAUUCCUCUCUUCUCACUUUCGAUUUUUGUGGUUGUGAUCUUGAAAAAGAGUUGUAACCCUAAGUGGUCGAUCUUGUAUAGUUGCCUUAUGUCGGUUUUGUGGCCGAGUUGAUUAGGUAACUAUGUUCGAUUUAUUGUAAAGUUCGAUUAGGAUUGAUUCUUGGUGUUUAGGAGCUGAAAUACACUGGUGUUGUAGUUCUUGGCCAAAAAUCUAGAUCUGAUUUUUGGUUUCUUGCACUUUCCCUUUCUCUGGACAGUUUAACUAGUGCUCAUAGUUGAACUGGGUCAACAAUUCUAAAGUUCUUGCAGUCUAUUUAUUUUCUGCAGUGCAAUAGUUUAAUUUACUGUUUUUGAUUGCUGCAUUUUUCAAUUUUUCACACUGCUGAGUAUAAUAUUCUGAUUUGGGUCAAUUGAUCCCAACAUAUAUUUUGAACAAUAUUAUAACUACAACAAGGUGAAUAACUCCAUUCCGGAUUCUUUCUCUAAUUCGAAUUUUGAGAAGUGAGAACCACAAAAAUCCUUAGUUAGAUACACUGCAUAAUUGGGAAAACACCCAUAUAAACGGAAAAAAAAAGGGAUUUAUUACGAUUAUAUUUUAUAAUUGGAACAAACAAGGGCUGAAUUGAUUUUUAAUUCGUUGGCAAUAUUUUCUUGAUUUUGUAGAUUGUAAUUUUGUUCACUUUUUCAAAAAUUGACUGAUAUAGUUUAAUGAUAUUUAUUUAAAUGAUUUUACAAAUUGAAAUUCUUUUAAAUGAAAAAUUAUGAAUUUUCUGUAAUAAACACUUGAUAGUAAGAAAAUCAUUAAAAUUCAACAAAUCCAUUAAAAUCUAUAAGAUAGAAUCUUGUUAAAAUCUUGUGGGAAAUCUAUAAAUCUUAAAAAAAAAACCCAUUAGACCACGAGCUAUGUGUUUGGCAUGUAGUGCAUUAUUUUCUAUCGAACAUGUUAAUGUGUGAAUGCGUUGCUAUCUUAAAGAAGGGCGGUACAGCGUAAGGCAAUGUUAACAAUCUAAGCAAAACCUGGAAAAUUAUACCUAGCACAUAGUAGAAGUUACGGAAAGGACGAAGACAGAAAAAUGAAGAAAAGAGAGCACAUGGGUCAUCAUCUAUGUAUUUCGCCAUGGCCAGCGUGAGAGGUACCAAAAGAGGCAAACUUAAUCAAUUGAAUAGAGUGGAACUUACGUGCUUCAAGUUGUGCGUCAUUUUCUAUGGCUUAACCUCAAUUUAAUAAAUUUAUCAAACUUAAAUUUCUAAGUGCACAUUUCAAUAAACCAACAAGUACUAUCCGUAGCACAAGUAUUGGAUUGUUACCCUUUGAAGAAGUUAAAAGAGAAGCCCAAACUCUCUUGAUGAAGAAAGGGUAUAGGCAAUUGAACCGUUUCUUGCUCCCUCUUUCAUCGUAACAAAAAUUAACAAAUACCUCAACUUAGGUCCCUUUUGGUAUGAAUUUUGAAAAGUCGAAAUGAAUUGGAUCCGUUCGUCUAAUUUUAUGAAAUUGCCUGAGGUAGUUAGAACUUUUAGAAUAGUUGAUUCAAUGUGACUUCCUCUAAAAAUACUUUUGAAAUAGAACUCUUUUAAAAAUUAAUUUUCAAACAAAAUUGAGAUAAUUUUUUCAAAAACUCUUCUACAGACAAGAAAACAAAAGUCAUGCCAAACAAGUCCUUGUUACUAUAAGAGUAAGCCCGAUGGCCCGGCUCAGAGCUGGAGCAUCGACCUGGGUGUUCAGGGGCAUGCCCCAUUGCUGGCUAUCCUGUGGGAGCCUUGAUGGAUAGCAGGUCCAAUUUCAUUAUAUUCAACCUGUAAAAAUAUAAUUGUUUUAAAACUUACUCUUAUAACUUGACCUUUCAAGCUUAGCCAGACAUGCUCUCAAUCUCCUGCUUUCAGUUUAGGAGAAAAAAUUCAUUAUAAUCAAAUUUAUAACCAAGAAACAGAAAGGAGUGAACUGGCUAAUGCAAAACCUCUGUUUUCUAAGAGAGAAUAAAGAACAGUAUAGCGCUUCACACGCACUGCACCAAAUAUUAGAAAACUAACAUUGCCCUUCCACUUCAAAAGAAGUUUAUUGAAUGUAGAAGAAUUUGGUAGCGAUGGACUGGCUUUCUGACAUUGAAUACCCUGCCUAAGUAGACAUCACCAUAAAUAAUGAUAACGGAAAUAAAAAACAAGUGAAGAGAUUAAGGAAUUUCUCGUCUGAUCUUGUAUUGUUAUUUCUUUUGUCACUGUUGUUGAUAAAUAGGAAGGUCAUAUAUUGGUGGCUUUAAAAAAUGUUGAUCCUUGGUCGAUUGGGAGAUACUGCUACUUGAAGCAUCUUCGCUUAUGCCACCUGCCAUCUUCAAGAAGUAACCAUGCCUGCAAGAAAAGAGAACGUCAAGGUAUAGGUACUGUUACAUAUCCAUUCAAUACAUCGGCAGAAGAUGUGUACCAUCUAGUAUCGGCAGUCAAUUCAGGGUGAAAAGCAGUUGCUAGCAAGUUUCCCUGCUUUACAGCGACAAUUACUUUAUUCUCAGAACCUGCAUUCUCCUGAUUUGGGGAAAGGUAAAUGAUGUUAAUUGAAACGUCAAAUUGUUGAAAUCCCGGAACUAAUAUAGGAAGGAGCUGGAUUGAUUGAAAAAAAUUGAUGGAAAUCCUUCUUACCAUAAUUAGUGUUGUAUAUUAUAUAUUGAUUGAUUUCUUACUAGCUUUAGGGGAUUAGAAUUUAUUCUUUUUUUACAUCUUUCCUUGUACUAUAUAUAUGGACCCUUUCAUUGUACAAAUUAUUGAGAAAUAAAAGAAAUCAAUAUCUCUCCAUGGGAUAAGAGCCAAGAUAUUUUCUAACGUAGUCAAAAUAUGGCUAAAGUAGCCGGAAAUAACACAGGUUCAACAACCUCCAAAUCAUACAACAGUGAAUUGGAAGCAACAUCUACCACGAAUCCAAGAGAAAUUGAAAACUCAUCCUUCCAAUUCACGGUAGAAAAAUUGAAUGGGAAGAAUUUUCAUGAGUGGGCCCAAUCUAUCUAACUUAUUGUUGAUGGAAAAGGCAAACUAGGGUACCUGACCGGUGAAACUAAGAUGCCCACCUCAACCAACUCCACUCUCCUUCAAAAAUGGAAGUCAGAGAACUCCAUGCUGACUACUUGGCUGGUGAAUUCUAGGCAACCCGCCAUCAGAAAGACAUACCUGUUUCUUCCAACUGCGGAAGAGGUUUUGGAGGCCGUACAAGAGAUGUACUCAAAUUCUACCAACAUUUUCUAAAUCAAAUCAAAAUUGUGGCAAACAAAGCAAGGUGAACGAGAAGUGACUGAUUACUACCUUGAGAUAACUGGGUUGUGGCAAGAACUGUUAAGUUCUGAAGAAGAAUGGACAUGUGCUGAAGACAGUAUUUGGUAUAAAAAGAGAUUGGAAAACGAACGUGUGCAUGAUUUCUUGGUGGGGCUCCACCACGACCUCGAACAUGACGAUGUCUAGGGGCAAAUUCUUGACCUCCUAAUCGAGACCAACAUGCUAGGAUGCAAGCUAAGUGAUACACCAAUGGAUACAAGAAAGAAAUCUAAAGAUGUCAGAGAUCCAGUGGAAACCAACACAUGUCACACACUAGAGCUAACAUUGCAUUCGCGGUAAGCUACAUAAGCCAACACAUGCAUUCACCUAAGAAAAGACAUUUGGAAGCAGUCUACAAGAUCCCAAGAUAUCUCCAGGACUUCUCAAGAAAAUGACUAUUUUUCAAUAAGAGUGAAAGAAAGGAGGUUGAAGUCUUCACAGAUUCAAAAUGGGCAGGUUUAAUAGAAGACAAGAGACCAACUCUUGGGUAUUGUACCUAUGUGUGGGGAAACCUCGCAACUUGGAGAAGCAUGAAACAAAGUGUAAUGGCCAGAAGCAGUGUUGAAAUUGAGUUUAGAGCUAUUGCACAAGGAAUAUGUAAAGGACCGUGGUUGAGAAAACUUCUGGAAGAAUUGCAUGUCGUAAUAAAGUUCUCAAUCAAACUCUAUUGUGAUCAAUAUUUCCCUCAAUCCUGUUCAGCAUGAUCGCACCAAGCAUAUAAAAGUAGGCAGACACUUCAUAAAAGAAGAAUUGAGGAAGGAACUAUUUGAAUGACCAAUGUUCCUAAACAUGAACAAACUAUAGAUAUAUUUACCAAAUGACUACCUUGACAAUGAUUCGAUGAUUUCAUAUACAAGUUGGAUAUGAUCACUAUUUACAAUCCAACUUGAGUGGGAGUGUUAAAAUCCUGGAACUAAUACAAGAAGCUGGAUUGAUUGGAGAAAAUAUAUGGAAAUCUUCCUUACCAUAAUUAGUGUUGUAUAUUAUAUAUUGAUUGAUUUCUUACUAGCUUUAGAGGAUUAGAAUUUAUUCCUUUUUUACAGCUUUCCUUGUAAUAUAUAUAUAUAGACCCUUUCAUUGUACAAAUUAUUGAGAAAUAAUAGAAAACAAUUUCUGUUCACAAAUGAAUCAGGAUGCUUGCGAUAGAAAAGAUUAACAUAAUCAAAAUAAAUAGAUUUUACGGACCAAGCCUUGAUCCUUGUUACACUAAUGGUAAGAAAUAGAAUAGAAUUGAAACAAGCCAAGCAAACCCACAGAUGCAUCGUGGUCCACCUUCAAUGCAAGAACUACAUCCACUUGCCAUUGCAAGUUUUCACUAUAAUAGAGAGAGUACAGGUAUUUUUUCCUUGUGCCUCUCACACACUAAAAUUAUUACCCUAAAAUACUUUCCAUAUGUCAUAUAGUAGGAAUAUUAGGAUCGUUUCCAGUAUGAUUAUGCUCCCUAUAGGCUAAGAAUAAUAACUUGGCAAUGUUUUACGUACUUGAAGGACACAUGGAGGUGCCUUAGAUGCAAGUUAAUUUGGUAGAACUUAUAGAUGAAGCCUAAACCUGAAAAAGGAUUAUUCCAUACCAAAAUAAUUCAAAAGAAAUUAGUUGUCCUCGAACAUAUAAUCAAAAUGAUAAUGUUGAACUGACGGCUAAAGUAGCUGAUAAAUUGCAGCAGUCUCUUUUAGCUAUUAAAAGAAUUUUUACUGCUGUGAGUUCUCAUACUAAAAUAUGCAUUUCAUGAUCUCAUGUAGAACUCGAGAUUCAAAUGCACAAAUUUGUAGACCAAAACCAACUAAUGAACCAAUAUAUGAAACACAAUCCGACUAAUGCACCAUGUGGCCAUCACGGUGUCUUUUGCAAAUCUAUGGUAUUGGAGAAGGCACAUACAAAGGGAAGCCUGUUGAGAGUUUCUAUCUGAUAUGUGAAAAUCCCCACUUUCCAGUAAUUGGAGAAACAAACGUAGAACAAAUUAUUUACUAGAUGAUGAAAAAUAGCUCCGUUCACCUCAAAAAUGAUGUCUAAAACAACUUAAAGCUCAUUUAGCGCCGACUACUAAGAAAAGGUUUGUUAAGAGUGAACGCAGGGCGGAGCAAAAGCUAAAGAAGUUUAAUCUAACAAGUGGUAUUCUCUUAAAGACAACUGUAGAAGAAUCAAAUUCACGACACUAAGUUGCCAUACAAGUGCAUCCGUUACUGGCUAAUUGCUCAGAAGGACAUAAACAAGAACAAUGCAGACAAAAUAGUGUAAUUUGGAAACAAAUGGCAGUAAUGAUAAACAGAAAAUUUACACCAUGAAAUUAUUGCCUAAUUUGCUCACAGUGUUGUUCAACCCUUCAUCAGUAAUCAAAUUAAAACAUAGGGCACCUCUUAUAUCCCAGUGCAUAUAGUUAUCUCACUUUCAAUUUGUCAACAGAACCAUCGACUAUUUUCAUUCUUUAAUCAAUUGCAUAAGUUUAAGCUGAUGUUUUCAGAAUCCAAUCUUGGUACCCUACAUCUGCGCAUUGGUUGAGCUGGGAGGUACUUGACUAAGAAGAAAACCUUGGGCUCGCGUAGUGCAAAGGAGUGGGCAUGAAAGAAAAUACCUUCAGGAAGUUUCAUGGAGAAAUAUAGAUGAUUCUUAAAAGAGUAAACAUAAGUCAUUCUCUGCCAUUUGGUGCAUGUCCAUCAGAAUGUUGUAGAACAGAGAGAGAGAGGACAAGUGCAGUAUCAUAUUGUUUCUACUUUCAAAUUCAAAAAGAAUGAACCCACAUAGCAGUGUCUCCACCCUCCGGCCACACAUACGGCCGUGGCUAUUAACAAGAAACUGAAAAUCGCAUCAUAGUUUGCCAGAAAAGAGUUUACUGAGAUAAAGUCCUGAAGUAGGUGGCGCAUAAAAAUUAUGCUUACAGUUUCUUUCAAAAGAUACAUCAGCGUGUCAUGCUGUUCAACUCACCUACUUUUAUGAAGCCAUCUAUAAAACUCUUUCACUCAUAAAUCUUCAUAACCAGAAGAUAUAAAUAGUAACAACACAAAUGUAUGUUAUUUACCCCCAUGAUUUUAUAUUAGAAAAAUGCUAUAUGCUUGUUUUUCCUCAUGUACUUGAAGAAGUCAAAUAUCAACAUUGCAUGGGUAAUCUUCCUAGAGCUUGACACUAAGACGAUCUUUACAAAGCUACAUUCGCAAAACACGCAGCAUCUAAAGAAACGAGAAUGCUCAAGCACAGUCAUUACUGAAGCUUCAAUACAUUAUUAAAAUGAAUGACAUAAAUUUUAAAAAUAGAGUUUCCUGCACAUAUAAUACUUAGUAGGAGUAAUUCAAAAAUGACAUAGGUAAAAGCAGACCUCUUGGCUUUCAUUAGGACUCAAAUUAACAGCUUUUUGGGAUGGAGUGGGAAGAUCUGCCAAAACUUCUACUUCUGGACCUACUUCAAGGAUUCCUGGAGCGCGAAUAAAAACCCCACGAAAACUUGGAGGACCUCCUUCUUCAGCCGCAAUUUUGGGAAUCAAAAGCUCCGCCUCAAAGCUUUGAAGCUGAAAAAGUUAGUUGGUCAUGAAAAUAGGUGGCAAUGAGUGGAUAUAAACAUGAAUCUUAUAUGUAAGCCACACUGCAGAACAAAAAAUUUAAAUGAGAUCAUCAAGUAUGUGCUGAACAUGUUUUCCAAAAGGUAUUCCCUGAAAAAAUCAUAAUUUCUAUGCAAAUCAAUCUAAGAGACACAAUAUAAAUGUGGUUAAAAUAUAGUAAAGCUGAAUUCAUCUUCAAUUAAGAAAAUGCAUCAGUCCAGAAAAAAGCUAUCAAAAUCCCUAAUAUUGCUUCCAUGUGAAUCAUGGUUUAAUGCUCUUGUUUAUAAGAGGAUGCCGGUGAAGUGUUCUGACAUCAAAUGUACAGCAUCCGACAGUGAAACAACAUUAGGCACGACAUAAUAUGUAAAAUUUUGUAUUCUGUUACGUUUUCGAAGGACAACUAUUAGUUAGACAUUGGCUUCACUUCUUUCUUGGAUACUAGUGUACUAAAAUUAAGGUAGAGAGGAUGCUAGUAAUACCUGACUGCCAAAGAAGUUUCGAUGAACCAUACAGUCAAGGCCCCCAAUUAGUUCCUGCCCUCCGAUUUUUUGCCCUGAAAGGAAUGCCCAUCAAGUUCAAAACCAAACAAUAUGAUCUCUUUUAUUUACUCCCUGCCAUUAGACAACUAUAUUCGAAAAGGGUCUCCUGAAACGUGAGCACUAAUCAGAAAAGGGAAAGGUAAGGGGUCUUAACAAUUAUAAAAGAACUGUGCAAAGCCCUGGGCCUUUUGCUCUUAUAACAUAAAAGGUGGCUGGCCAUUCGUCAGGACCCAGGAAUCCUCUGUACAAUCAUUGAUUCUUUCCAUAAAUACCGAUAUUUGGAUUGGAAAUCAUAAAAAUCUAGUAAUUCGAAUCAUAGCCAAGUGCGCGGUGGAUAACUGCUGAAAGCAAAGUAGUAAACCCACCCCCAAGAGAGCUUCCUGAGAUAACAUUGAUGGAAAAGGAUACCUACCUGUGGCCUUGUUGGCCAAGAAAAUAAGGCCUGCACAAGUCCCCCAAACUGGUUUCCCCGUUUUGACAAACUCACGUAAAGCAGGAAACUGCAAUUGUGACAAAUUCUUAGCUCCAAAAUAUCAAAUAAGCUUCAUAUCAAACGUAUAUGUAACAACAGUCACAAGGGGCAAUGAAACUGCAAUUCCAAACAAUAGUUAUAAUCUGCAAAUAGGUGACUUAGCUCUCAAAGUUAUCUAAACCUGUGGAUUACGUUCUCUUCAUCAACUUUCAACUAGCUUGAUUAAGCAAUAUUAACUUUCUUUCUUUGGUAUGGAUAAAACACUAGACCAUACUAAUACACGGUACAGUUUUCAAGGAUGAUGGUUAUUUCACAUGAAAAAUAUUAGGUUUACAGAAAACAGGGGUAAUCUGUACAGCUUCAAAAAUCUCUGUACAAAUAAAUAGCCUAUUAAGGGAGCAAGAUUUUUUAACUAUUUUUUGAGAAUUCAUGGCCUUCACUAUUACAUAUCAGAGACUUGCAGGUUUUCACAUUCAGCAUUGAAUUCCAUUCCUCUACAUGAAGAAACAAUUAAAAAGAAACAUACAAGUGGACAAUAAUCAUGAAAGAAUGCUAAACACCAAGAGAAGGUUAACGAAAAAUUUAUUGUUAAAAAUACCAUUUUUGAUAGUAUCACUCAUACAGUAUGAGUUAUUCAUCUAGAUAAAUAUUAGAAAGUGGAAAAAAAGAAUAAUUAGGUGUGAGAAGAUAUUGAAUUAUUGCAGAUGGGCAAACAUAAUUACUUUGAAGUAGUUAGAGAAAUAUAAAAUAUCACAAGAACAAAAGUUUUGUUGAUUUAUAUUUAUAUUGAAAGUAAAAGACCUGUUUUAUUAAAACGACACUUCUUUAACUGAGUCCACAUUUGGUAAUUGGCUGAUUUAUAUGUGAUUGGAUUGUGCUUCCUUUCUUCUACAAUUACAAUUUUUCCCCAAGUUCAGGAAAAACAGACAAAAAUGGCAACACCUAUAUAUAUGGAUGGCAAUCGGGCUGACCGGAUCGAACUGUCCAUGGCUGGGCUCAGUCUCAGAGGCACCGAGCCCCAUUUUUGGGAGUUGGCUCAAGCCGGGUAGGCCCGUAAAACAAAAAAGUAAAAUUAAAAAUUUGUUGCCUAUUUGGCAGCUAUUUUAGAAGGAAAAAGAAGUUUCAAAAAAUUCAGAAAAUCGAGCUCGACUCGACUCAGACAAAGCUCAAGUCAAGCCUUAAUUUUUUGGCCGAGCUUUUGCUUAGCUCGGCUUGGGUCAAAAAAAGCCCGCCUUAAAAAAGCUCGAGCCGGCGCAGCUCAACUCAUUGACACCCCAACCUAUAUAGUAGCUUCAUUUUUAGUAUUUUUGUCAUCUUUCAAUAAUAAUUUGCCAAGUGUCCAUCUAUAUGAUUUCUGUGAAAUUUCUCUACCUAUAGCAUUAUUCCUACAAUUAUACUAGUUGUACAUUAUUGGUUUACAUUGUGGAUGACAUCCUCCAAUGUGGAUGAAUCUAAUCAUUGAUCGAAAUUUUUUUAAUUAAAAUCAAUAUGCAAAAAAUUUCACGUUACACAAUAUCAAAUUUGAUGCACCUAUAGCAAAAUUAUUUCUCAAUUAUGCAACUUGUACAUUCUUGCGUUACAUUGUGGAUGACAUCCUUCUGUGUGGAUGAAAUUUGGCAAUUGAUUGAAAAGUGUUAUUAAAAUCAAUGUAUAAAAAGCUGUCAUCUCAUACAAUGUCAAACUUGACAUACUUGUAUUAAAAUUAUUUCUCAAUCAUGCUAGUAGUACAUUUUUGGGUUACAUUGUGGAUGAUAUCCUCCUACGUGGAUGAAAUCUGACCAUUAAUACGUGUUUUGGAGUUAGCCUUUUGAGAUUCAUUCAGUUCAACUUGUUUUAGCUUCAAGGUUCUCUCUGGUUCUCUUUCCUGAGCACUCUCAGAAAAUUCCUCUCUUCUCACUUUCGAUUUUUGUGGUUGUGAUCUUGAAAAAGAGUUGUAACCCUAAGUGGUCGAUCUUGUAUAGUUUCCUUAUGUCGGUUUUGUGGCCGUGUUGAUUAGGUAACUAUGUUCGAUUUAUUGUAAAGUUCGAUUAGGAUUGAUUCUUGGUGUUUAGGAGCUGAAAUACACUGGUGUUGUAGUUCUUGGCCAAAAAUCUAGAUCUGAUUUUUGGUUUCUUGCACUUUCCCUUUCUCUGGACAGUUUAACUAGUGCUCAUAGUUGAACUGGGUCAACAAUUCUAAAGUUCUUGCAGUCUAUUUAUUUUCUGCAGUGCAAUAAUUUACUGUUUUUUAUUGCUGCAUUUUUCAAUUUUUCACACUGCUGAGUAUAAUAUUCUGAUUUGGGUCAAUUGAUCCCAACAUAUAUUUUGAACAAUAUUAUAACUACAACAAGGUGAAUAACUCCAUUCCGGAUUCUUUCUCUAACUCGAAUCUUGAGAAGUGAGAACCACAAAAAUCCUUAGUUAGAUACACUGCAUAAUUGGGAAAACACCCAUAUAAACGGAAAAAAAAAGGGAUUUAUUACGAUUAUAUUUUAUAAUUGGAACAAACAAG